rnacentral:rRNA from 1 species
UACAGAGGGUGCGAGCGUUAAUCGGAAUUACUGGGCGUAAAGCGCACGUAGGCGGCUUGGUAUGUCGGGUGUGAAAUCCCCGGGCUCAACCUGGGAACUGCAUCCGAAACUGCCUUGCUCGAGUAUGGGAGAGGGAAGUGGAAUUUCCGGUGUAGCGGUGAAAUGCGUAGAUAUCGGAAGGAACAUCAGUGGCGAAGGCGACUUCCUGGACCAAUACUGACGCUCAGGUGCGAAAGCGUGG